GAUGAACGCUGGCGGCGUGCCUAAUACAUGCAAGUCGAGCGAACAGAUGAGGAGCUUGCUCCUCUGACGUUAGCGGCGGACGGGUGAGUAACACGUGGAUAACCUACCUAUAAGACUGGGAUAACUUCGGGAAACCGGAGCUAAUACCGGAUAAUAUAUUGAACCGCAUGGUUCAAUAGUGAAAGACGGUUUUGCUGUCACUUAUAGAUGGAUCCGCGCCGCAUUAGCUAGUUGGUAAGGUAGCGGCUUACCAAGGCAACGAUGCGUAGCCGACCUGAGAAGGUGAUCGGCCACACUGGAACUGAGACACGGUCCAGACUCCUACGGGAGGCAGCAGUAGGGAAUCUUCCGCAAUGGGCGAAAGCCUGACGGAGCAACGCCGCGUGAGUGAUGAAGGUCUUCGGAUCGUAAAACUCUGUUAUUAGGGAAGAACAAAUGUGUAAGUAACUAUGCACGUCUUGACGGUACCUAAUCAGAAAGCCACGGCUAACUACGUG
rnacentral:rRNA from 1 species